rnacentral:rRNA from 1 species
GGGGAAUAUUGGACAAUGGGCGCAAGCCUGAUCCAGCCAUGCCGCGUGGGUGAAGAAGGCCUUCGGGUUGUAAAGCCCUCUUGUUGGGGGGGGAAUGAGGUCCGCAGGGAAUGGCGGGCCGAUGACGUGAACCCCGGAAUAAGCCCCGGCUACCUACGUGCCAGCAGCCGCGGUAACACGUAGGGGGCGAGCGUUGUUCGGAAUCAUUGGGCGUAAAGGGCGCGCAGGCGGCGAGGCAAGUCCGGUGUGAAAGUGCUCGGCUCAACCGAGUGAUGCGCUGGAAACUGCCCUGCUUGAGUACAGGAGGGGACGUCGGAAUUCCAGGUGUAGGGGUGAAAUCUGUAGAUAUCUGGAAGAACACCGGUGGCGAAGGCGGACGUCUGGCCAUGUACUGACGCUGAGGCGCGAAGGUGCGGGGAGCGAACA